rnacentral:rRNA from 1 species
UGCUCUUCGAUUCAGCGGCGGACGGGUGAGUAAUGCCUAGGAAUCUGCCUGGUAGUGGGGGACAACGUUUCGAAAGGAACGCUAAUACCGCAUACGUCCUACGGGAGAAAGCAGGGGACCUUCGGGCCUUGCGCUAUCAGAUGAGCCUAGGUCGGAUUAGCUAGUUGGUGAGGUAAUGGCUCACCAAGGCGACGAUCCGUAACUGGUCUGAGAGGAUGAUCAGUCACACUGGAACUGAGACACGAUCCAGACUCCUACGGGAGGCAGCAGUGGGGAAUAUUGGACAAUGGGCGAAAGCCUGAUCCAGCCAUGCCGCGUGUGUGAAGAAGGUCUUCGGAUUGUAAAGCACUUUAAGUUGGGAGGAAGGGCAGUAAGCUAAUAUCUUGCUGUUUUGACGUUACCGACAGAAUAAGCACCGGCUAACUCUGUGCCAGCAGCCGCGGUAAUACAGAGGGUGCAAGCGUUAAUCGGAAUUACUGGGCGUAAAGCGCGCGUAGGUGGUUCGUUAAGUUGGAUGUGAAAGCCCCGGGCUCAACCUGGGAACUGCAUCCAAAACUGGCGAGCUAGAGUAUGGUAGAGGGUGGUGGAAUUUCCUGUGUAGCGGUGAAAUGCGUAGAUAUAGGAAGGA